ensembl:lncRNA
CCAUCUUUGUAUCAUUACUAUUAUUAUUAUUAUCAUUAACUGUUAUUAACCUAAGCCCAAACACCACAAAUUAAUUGUGAUGGAAGCAAAGACUUAGAAAAGGCCCGGGAAAUGAAGGAAUUGAAGAAACAGAGGCAGCUGCCAAAUCAGACUGGAGGCCAACUUAUUAAAAGCAGCAUACAUAGUGGAGAGAGUAUAAGCACUUGAAGUGAGCAGGAGCCCACAUGACCACCUGAAUCACCACUGAAAGUGUUAAGAAGCUUCCAGCGCAAAAGCCUCAGGUUUGAGGAUCCCAACAGGAGACUCGGCCGUCUGUCCCCAAAUGCCAGGCAAAGUGAUGCACAGUGCCAAAGCGCAGGAAAGAAGCGUUAGUCAGCACAGCCAUCCCAGGAAUGCAGAUGCAGAGGUUUAAGGUAUGGCUGUGAGGGGCUGACGGGAACUUUUAAGGUUUUCUGUUCGCUCAGCUGGCAGGGUGUGACUGAUUGGUGGUUUUCUCAGGAUGCUGCUGAGAGAUAACCCCAGAGAAGGCCCUAUGGCUUGAGGGGCCAAUGCCAUUCCCAUGAGAUGUUUGCUUCUGCUUUGGGGGGCAGCCUCACAUUCUCCUAGGGUGAUUUGUCUGCAAGGCUCUGCUUUUCCUGGAGUCUGAGGUGACAGCAGAUUUAGAACAAUAACUGGAGAUUUCUAGGCCCUGCUGCAGAAGGUCUGGACUAGGACAGUGUAAAAGCUGGCCACUGAAUGUCCUUGCAGAUCUUGAAAAUACCUUCGGUUCUUCUUCGGUGCUCUCAUCUUCACAUUCUUAAUCUUGAAGGGAGGUGAGCUAUAUUAGGCAAAUUUAGGGCUAAGUAAACUUGUUUAACAGCUUUUAGACAGACACUCAUUAAGUGAUUAAUGUGCCUACUGGCGGAGCUGAACAGGGAUCUGACCCAGAGUUUUAAAGUAACGAAGGAGAGAUACAAAAUGAAGGCAGAGAUUCCAAGCUUUGUCCUGCCCCUAGGUACCCACUGGGCAUCUGCAGGACCCACCUCUAGGUCCCUCUUUAAAAAAAAAAAAAAGACUCAAAUGAAGGUUUCCUGUUUCCUGCAGCCUUACCAACAUUGGUUAUUAUUUGAUUUCUUGAUGAUAGCCAUUCUUUCUGGGGUAAGAUGGAAUCUCAGUGUUGUUUUAAGUUGCGUUUCUCUAAUGGCCAGCGAUAUUGAGCAUCCCUUCAUGUGUCUGUUGGCCACUUGUACUUCUUAUUCUGUGAAGUAUCUGUUCUGUUCACUUGACCAUUUUUUUGAUUGGGUCUUUUAUUGUGGAGGAGUCUAUUGUGGAGGGACUUUUGUGAGUUCUUUACAUAUUUGAGAUAUUUGUCUUUUCACUCUGUUGAUUGUUUCUUUUGUUGUACAGAAGGUUUUUAAUUUGGUAUGAUCCCAUUUGUUGAUUCUUGGUUCUAUUUCCUAUGCAACUGAGGUUCUGUUAAGAAAGUCUUUGCUUACACCUAUGACUUCUAGAGUUUUGCCUAUUUUGUGAAAUGACCAUAAAGUUACCGUCCCAUGGCAUUUAUAAUGACACACCUUCCCUGAACUCAUGUCCCAUCCACAAAAUGGGUGCAGCCAUAGAUGUUCUUAAAAACUUAUUUAAGGAUUAGAAAUAGUAUAACUUUUAUCCUUGGAACAGAAACAGCAUAGCCAUUUACAGUCAGCAAAUCCCUUUUCUCGAAAUGAAACAAAACAAAAUAAAACAAACCUUUUAUACCUGAUCCUUCUCUGGAACAAAAUUGUGUCUGCAUCUCAUCUUAAAGUAAUUUAAAUGUCUAAAACUACAGAUUUAUCAAACGGAAAUCAGUUGCAUUCUCUUUUUAUUCUUUAAAAAAACACAAGCACUCUUACUAUAUUGAAAGAAGAAUCCAAUUUGGAGUUUCUUGAUUUGUUUGUAGCUUCCCAAAGGAAACAGACAGCUGGUAAUUAAGUACAUCUCUAGAUUUUGGAUACAGCACGUCUCUUAUAGAAUGAAACAUUACUAACAAUGUCAAAGGUAAAGUGUUUGCAAAUGACAAAUGAAUCAGAAACACAGGAACAGAAACAAUCGAUUAAGCAAUAUAUCAGUGGGAGAACCAGAUCCUGAAAUGAAACAAAUAAGUCAACACCUCCAACUUGCAAAAUCGGCCUCAGAAUUGAUUUGUCUGGAGUAGGAUUGAAAUGGAGAAUGAAGCUGGAUAGAUGAGGUGCUAGGUACAAGAAAGUACUGGAGAUGACAUGGUCCAAACCCCUGUUUGGACAGAUGGGGAAACCAAGGCCCAGGGAAUGAUACAGCUUACAUAGUGUCAAAGUUAGUGCUAUAAUCCAGGUUUUCUGGCCCCCUCACCACUGAGGAAAUGUCUUUUUAUUGUUAAAUUAGGUAUUUUCUGAUGUCUAUAUGACAAGAAAUUUAGGCCUAAGUUUUCUUGGCCUGCCCUUAUUCAGAUUAUACUCUACUCUGGGCAGCCAUUCGUGGAGAGAUGAUGUGCAUAAUGGAGACAUUUUCUGGGAUAUGGGCUUGCCCUGCUUCUUUCUGUACAGCUCUGUAUCUCUGUGCCUGGUGUAGUGUAGGGAUUUAAUAAAUCUUGACUGAAUGAACCGAUUUGGAGAGUGCACUGUCAAGUCUUGUUAGCUGAAACAAUGCAAUGAUUGUGAACUUGGGUUAAUGAGCAAAAAAAAGCAAAGAAGGAGUCCUAUGGGUGUAGGGCUGCACACCUAUAAUGCUAGCACGCUGGGAGGCUGAGGCAGGAGGAUUGCAGAUUUGAACCCAGCCUGGGCAAGUUAUGACUAAAUAAGACCCCAUCUCAAAAUGAAAGGUAAGAAAUGGGCUGGGGAAGGCCUAGGGGUCAGCCUCCAGUAUCACGAAAAACAAAAACAAAAACAAAAACAACAAAAAGGGAGGCUUGGUACAGAAUAAGUAAUCGGGGUGCAGCUACCAUGAAAAGGAGUUUCUAGUCCUGGACUCGCCACCUGCCUUUCUAGGGACACAGGAUGAGUUACUUGCCCUAUUUGCAUGUUGUUUCUUCCUAAGGAUAAAAGGGAGUAAAAUGUCUAUUUCCAAGAGUCUUAUGAAGAUUUCAUAGCACUCACUAACUGCUUGCCAUUAUACCUGGCAGAGACUAGUAGCUUGAUAAAUAAUAACUGAGACAAAAGAGAAGGCGAUGGUAUGGAGUCAGGGUUCCUGUUGGGUUAAAAGUGUGAUGUGCAGAUGUGUGAUGUGCUUACCGGCUUCGAUUCCAGAAAUCUGUGGGUGCCGCUUCACAUCAAAUCAGACCCAGCCCAUUGCCCUUGGGCUAAAUAGGAAGCGACCUCUGGCCUCCACUGUAGCUCAUGUCCUUGGCUUCCUCUCACUUUGGUUUGCAGUGUUGAGUGGCCCCGCUCAGGUCCUACAGUCAGGAGAACUAAGGCAUGGCCCUCUGGGCCAUCCAGGGCCACUCUUUCUGUCCUCAUGUCCUGGAUGGGUAACCAUGGCUCUGUCUUGGUCUGAGAGCAUGGCCCAUAAGCCACUUGUCUCCUCUAGGGACUCAGGCCUGUAGAAGCUCAAGCAAAAGCCGUCAUGCUGGAGCCCUAGAGGAAGAGCAGGUAUUCCUUUCCUGGGGUGACUCGGGUAACCCUGAGGCCACCAAUCAUAGCCCAACCCCACUCCACACACUCCAAGUGCUGUCUCCUCCAACUUCUUGAAUGCUUUCUCUUUUUGGGAACAUGGAUCCAAGCAACAAUUUAAAAUCAAAGCAUAAGAAUAGGUUGUAGCAGUAAUGUAGCCUGCCGGAAGAGGCCAUGAGAAAGUUGUAUUUAUGUAACUACAAGCAGACACUGCACUAGAAAUGGGAAUAUUCUCAUUUAAUUUUCAUUGCAACCUAUGCUUUAUCCUCCCCAUUCUCCAGAAACCAGGUUUCUAAGAGAUUAAAUAAUAGAAGUCUAAAGUCACAGUAUUAGUUAUGGAUGACACCAGUCACGAAACCCACAUCUGACCAACGUACAACUCCAUAUCCUCACCACAAUACUAAGCCUCCUCCACUUUCUAGCCCUUAAUUUCCAGCUUGGAAAAAUGGGACAGAUGCAGGAUAGUGGGAUCCCAAGGAGGAUAUGGCCACUGGAACCUGAGAAUAUGACCUUGGGGAAAGGAUCUUUGCAGAUAUAGUGACAAUUAGAAUCUUGAGGAAAAGGAUAUUAUCCUGGAUUUUCUGGUGGGCCUUAAAUCUAACGACAAAGUCAUUAUUUAAAAAAGGCAGAGGGCAUUGAGACAUAAGAGGCGAAGGUGCCCAGAGUGACUUAAAGACAGGAAGACAGAAACAAGGAUUGAACUUAUGUAGCCAAAGGAAAGCUUGGAGCCAACAGAGGCUGGAAGAGGCAAGGAAAGAUCCUCUCCUAGUGCCUCCAGAGUGAUUGUGGUCUUCAGGACACCUUGAUCUCAGACUUAUGGCCUCCAGAAUUGGGGGAGAAUAAACUUUUGUUCAAGGCACCCGGUUUGGGGUCAUUUGUUUUUGUUUUUGUUUUUUUCUUUUUUGGUACCAGGGGUCAAACUCGGGACUUUGUGCUUGUGAGGCAGGCGGCAGAACCACUGAGCUAAAUCCACAGCCCUGGGGUCAUUUGUUUUAACAGCUCCAGGAAACUAAUACCACAUGGGGAAAGCACAUGGUUUACCACUGCUUGGCUUGUCUGGCACCAGCAGCCCAGGAAACAGGAACGUGUAGUCUCAGCCUGGUCCCCUGUGCUCUGUUGUCAUAGGCCAUCUUGCUUAAAGAAAAGCUCCCUAUAGCUGGAGCUGGCCAGGGAACAGGGUGCCAUUAAAGGCCCUGGCCUGGAGAAGCACUAGGAGGCUGAGGCCAAUGGAUUGUCCAGUUGCUCCAACUUCUAGGUCAACAGAGAGAAGAAAGAAGCUGAAAGAGCCCCGAAGGAGACAGCAUAGGACAGUUAGUGAGGGCCUUCCGGAUCCUUCCAGGACUAGGGCAGCCAUUUCUGGAACAGACAAACCCCUGAAUUAUUGCUUGGUGAGAGUUCAUAACCACUGGGCAGCAACUUUUCUGUAGAACCAUUCUGGAACUAGGGGCUGCCUUGGGCUGUCAGCCAUAUCCUUGCAGGAAGUCUCUGCAGCUCUUGGCAGAGACCUGGUAGAAACUCCUGAGGGAAUGAGGUUGCUCAAAGCUGAAGCCUGGUUAUUUUUCUCAAAACCCAGAGGGGGGCCCUGUUUUCAACAACAGGACUCAAGUGCCAGCUGCAACUGAGAACCACCCAGUCCCCAGCAACCCAAGUGCUUGGUUCCUGUGUCUCCUCACAAUGUGUGCACUUUUAUAUGACAUUGGUUAUAAGCUUUUGUGUAUGUUGGUGGGGGAGGCUCUCCUUCCCUGAUGUGCUCUCAUCUGUCCUUUUUAAAGGUCUCCCUCAGCCUGUGUGCUCCUCAUUCAGACUAACAAUAGCUCUGGCAGUAACAAGGUGGCAGCAGGAAGAGCUACGGUUUAAUAAAGCUGAGGCCCAGUGGCCUCCCACUCCCCACUCUGGGCUCUAAUAAAGCCUUUUCAUCGUUCCAGCCCUGUGGUUUCCAUCCUGGCGUCUGUGAAUGGCCUUCUCUACUGAAAGGACUCUUUAUUUGUACUUAGAACGCAGUUGAGAGUGACCACAGAUUUCAGCCACCUUGUGUGGGGUGGGGAAGGGAGUCAAAUGUAGGAACUCAGUCCCCAACCUAAUCAGAACACCCAGGGACUUCCCAGGAUCUGGAAGGUUCUAGAAAUUUUCAGGGCAGAACAUGUCCAACUUCAGUCAAAAAUUCAUGUGGGCUUUAUCAUUACCUUAAAACAUAGCUAACUUGAUCCUUGAGUUCCCUUCUUCUGUAGAAAAACUAUCUUUUUUUUCACUUUCCUCCCUGAAAUCAUGGAGUAGUACACAGAAGGAGCCCCUUAACAGCAUGCUUUUCUCCAAAUUCCACCAUUUGAUAGCACUUUACAGAAUGUGAGCCAAGAGCUUUCAUCGCCUCUGUAUAUUUACUCAGUGAGUCGCUUGUACUGUUACUAUAUGUGUUU